rnacentral:rRNA from 1 species
UGAGGAAUUUUGCGCAAUGGGGGAAACCCUGACGCAGCAACGCCGCGUGAGUGAUGAAGGCCUUCGGGUCGUAAAGCUCUGUCAAGUGGGAAGAACCUACGAGGUGUUAAUAUCAUCUUGUAUUGACGGUACCACUAAAGGAAGCACCGGCUAACUCCGUGCCAGCAGCCGCGGUAAUACGGGGGGUGCAAGCGUUAUUCGGAAUUAUUGGGCGUAAAGAGCGCGUAGGCGGUCUUAUAAGUCAGAUGUGAAAGCCCGGGGCUCAACCCCGGAAGUGCAUUUGAAACUAUAGGACUUGAGUAUGGGAGAGGGAAGUGGAAUUCCUGGUGUAGAGGUGAAAUUCGUAGAUAUCAGGAGGAACACCGGUGGCGAAGGCGACUUCCUGGACCAAUACUGACGCUGAGGCGCGAAGGCGUGGGGAGCAAACA